rnacentral:tmRNA from 1 species
GGGAGUUAAGUAGAGGGAAUGUUAAAACGCUGACUGCACUCGGAGACGCUUUCACUGAUAUAUCUUCGGACAGGGGUUCAACUCCCCUCGCCUCCACCA